CCCCAUCUCCCUAGACGACUCCUAGGCCUCUGCAGCUCCCGCUGUUUUCCAGAUAUCCCCAGGCCUUUUCCUGCAGUGAUGUGAAUCCCACGUAGCCCUCGGCUCCCCAAAGUCUCCCUGUCUCUGAACCUCUGUGUCCAUUUCCUGCAGACCCCCCAGAGGUAUCCUUCUCUGGCUAUGAUAACAACUGGUACCUCAGCCAGAAUGAGGCCACCCUGACCUGCGACGCUCGCAGCAACCCAGAGCCCACAGGCUACAACUGGAGCACGACCAUGGGUCCCCUGCCACCCUUCGCUGUGGCCCAGGGCGCCCAGCUCCUGAUCCGUCCUGUGGACAAACCAAUCAACACAACUUUCAUCUGCAACGUCACCAAUGCCCUAGGAGCUCGCCAGGCAGAACUGACCAUCCAGGUCAAAGAGCGACCUCCCAGUGAGCACUCAGGCAUGUCCAGUAACAUCAUCAUCUUCCUGAUUCUGGGAAUCGUGAUUCUUCUGACCCUCGUGGGGAUUGGGCUUUAUUUCUGUCAGUCCAGAUAUUCCUGUAAGGAGCAUGCCAGCGCCUCGGCUAAUGGGUAUAUCUCCUAUUCAGAUGUGAGCAGAGAGGCCAGCUUUUGCCAGGAUCCACAGACAGAGGGUGCAAGGUGA
rnacentral:lncRNA from 10 species